GAAGCUGUGAAGGCUUUUUGCAAGGUGCCUUCAAGCUUGGUCUUUUGUUCAGGUUUUCCCAUGCGCUUAUAUUCCACCCGUCAGCUGCUGUAAAGCCUGUAGUGCUUGAAGUCACACACCAGGGUUGGCUAGUGUCCUGUGUGCGCCUGCCUGGCUCGCACAGGCUCACCUGCAGCCUGGCAUACAAUGAACUAGGCUGUUCUUCCUUUGCUCAGGGCGUGGAGAUCAGGCGCCUUUGGAUCCUGAAGCUCUUGUGCAGGACAGAGGCUGCCGAGGAGGCACGAAGCAAAACAAAACAAAAACACCCAAAACUGCAAACAAGCUAUGGAAGCCAUGCGGGUAUCUCCUGGAAUGAAAGCUGAGGAAUCUGGGCUCACAGCGAGAUGGAUCGAGUGACCGCAUGUUUGUUUCUGUAGCUCUCUAGAUUUCACAGUCUGGAUCUCCACCUUGAAUCCAGCAUGCAGGGGCGUGUUUUUGGCCCGGCAGUUAAGUUGCUGCUUGGGACACCUACGUCCCAAAUCAGAGAUCCUGUUUCCAGUCCUGGCUCCUCUCCUUCCAAUCCAGUUUCCUGCUAAUGCAUGCCUCUUGGAGGCAGCAGAUGACGGGCCACAUGCUUGGAUCUUUGCCAUCUACAUGGAUGACCUGAAUGGAGUUCUGGGCUCCAGGCUGCAGCUGGGUCCAGCCCUGGUUGUUGUGGGUAUUUGGGGAGUGAGCCAGAGAACAGAUCUCUCCCUUUCAAAUAAAAACAGAACAAAAACAAAAACCCAGGAAAUCUUAUAAGUUCCUGUGCAGAAUCAGGAUAUGAGACAGAUGCUUCCUAUAGAGCCGGGUGCAAUUCAUUCAUUCCAAAAGUAAAUGUUAGCUUCUGCUUUGGGUUAGGUUAGGUGCUGGGACUAUCAUAAUGAAGAAGACAGGAGGGAGACUUUGCCUCAAGUAGCAUGUGAUAUAGUUAGAAAAGCAGGCAAGUGCCUGGAAAAUCACUUUCUGACGUUGCCCUCUGAAGGGAUGAAAGCUAUGAUGUGGAAGAGGUAGUUCUGGGAGCACCCAGGAGGAGCAACAGAGCAGCUGAGAGAUGGGGUGGGCACUGAGAGGUCGGGGAACACUUCUGGGGAGUUUUCACGCAGGACUGGAAGGAACACAGAUUAGCUAAGUCAAGGCUGAAAGAGUGGGUAUGAAAGCAAGGGGAGAUAAAGGUACUUGCUCAUGGCCACCAGAACCAGAUUUCAGUGCUGUUUCCUAGUUUCUGGGGAUAUUUACUGAUGAGCUACCUUCUUCUUGCACCAUCUGCUAUCCCAACUCUUAAUAUAUCAAAUAAUACUGCGCAUGCCUCAUUUUAUUUGAUUCCCGUAACUUCAAGUUUAGAGGAGCUGGAUUACUCAGCAAGUGAAAGAUGUUAGUGCUAGAGAACUCGGGAUGGGCCUGCCAGUGUGGCCAUCUCUGCCAUGAACUCACAGACCAAGGAUACCUCCCUCAGGGCUGAAUGGCUGCUCGAGGGAUAUAUUCAAGGGCACCCCUGACCUUACAUUUUUGCUUGCGUCCAGGGAGUCACAGGAGAGGAAGCCACCAGACAGGAGGCUCGUAAGGCAGGAUCUCCUCUCCUCCACUUCUGGCAAUGUGUUUCUCCUUCCCAGGGUCCACCCCACAGGAGGAAGCAGGAGAGCCAAACUCGUGUGCGGAUCAGUGAUGGGAGAGAACCUUUCCUUCGGUAGAAGUUUUCUUCCUCAGAGAAAUGGAGGACUUUCUUUCCAUCCCACUGACAAAGCCUGGAUGGCGGAGAGGGUGGCCUGGGAAACCUGGCCUCCUUUGCCCGUGCUGGCAAGGCCUGAUUGGAGACACAGACUUCCUGGGGCUCCUGGAGUGAGAUGCCUUGGACUCAGCGCCUGAUUCUUGUCUGACAAUUUUAUGGUGCUGUCCAGAGUCAUGAGCACCAAAUACAAUGAUCUCAUCUCUCUGGAUCAUGUACUGGAUGGCAAAAACCCAAAAACCAAAGCAAAACACCGAAACAAAAACAACAAAAAAGUAGAUUGCCAAGGUUUUAAUAGAGUCAAUAGAUAAAAUUCUCUGUCUAUGCCAUAUUUAUUGUAGUUUAUGUAUACUCUAUAAGAGAAUAUCUUUUAAAAAAUAAAACAGAAACUUUAGUACUUAGGAGUUGUGCAUCAAGAUUUGAAAAAAUAUCAAUUUCUCUGUUCAUCUGGAGAGAAAGCAAGAGGUUUUGUGUGUGAGCGAGACAGCCCAAGGGAUAAAUGCUUCAAAGGAGAAAUCUGUGUAGUAGGGUACAUAGAGGCAAUUUUUUUCAGGAUUUAAAAUAACUUCCAGAUUCAAACAUCAAGAGGCACAUGCCAGCCGGCAACAGCACCUUUUUUUUUUAAAACAAAAACGGAGAACACUGGGUCCUGUGUUUAGGAGGCAGUGGCAAAUGCCCGUGGGCCAAGCUCUGCAAUCCUUUGGAUCUCUCCUAGUCCCGUGACCCUCAGUGGUGAGGGUCAUGGGGACGCACUUUCCAUGGCAGAUUUCUACAGCACUGGGGACUGGCGCUCCGGGAGUG